rnacentral:lncRNA from 1 species
AGUCUAGUCUGUGACCUGAGCCAUCAUGGUAGGGUGUCCAGGGUGAGGGGAGGGUGGUGUGAAUCCCCAGUAAUGCAGGUCCUUUCCAGGCCAGGCCCCUGGUCCCCAGGAGUGCGGGGAUGCCUGAGGUCUACUGCUGCCUUAUCCAGAGCUGCCAUCCCCGGCGAUGACUCAGAGUUCCUGUGGCCCCAGCAUCAUCCCUCCAUCCCUGGCUGUGAGGCAGGAGCAGAGUUGCAGACCUGAGAGGCCUUGAAUUUGUUUGAUAUAGGACUUUGCCACCAGACAAAGUGCUUUGCCUGUGAGGUCUGGCUUGGCCUGGCCUCUGAGAAAGAACAAACACAGACCUCACUGGAAGGAACCUGGAGAACGGGAGAGGAGAGGCUGCUGCUGUCUGCCCUCCCAGCAGCAGAUAUAAAGACAAUGGGCUUCUAAGUCCCCUAGAGUCCCAGCUGUGUAAUUUAAGGCGAGUUCAUCUCUCACAGCCUCAGUUUCCUCAUUUGCUGGCACCUGUCUUUCUCCUUCAUAGCCAUUGUCACUGUUGCAAUGAUAUCAACAAUGCUUACAUUUCAGAUAGAUCCCCAGCUGGGUUGAAAGGAACGUCAAGACCCUUCCUUUCUUAUGACCUAUGUAUCAACUCCCUUCUACCUUGCCUCCCUCCACUUGGAGCGAGUUCUAGUUGGUGAAAUGUAGCCAGAGGUUCCUGGAAAGGCUUUCCUUCUCAAGUAAAGCCUGGCUCAGAGAAAACCACUGGUCUCUUUCCUUUUCUUCCUCCUGACAUGAACAUGGGGCAGGAAGGAGCAUGGAGAAGACAAGAACAAGGCUCUCAGAAGGAAAUGGUGUGGCUGGAGCCAUGAGAACUGGUUGUGGAGGGGGCAAAUAUAAUUUCUGACCUACGUAAUGAUGUAUGCACAAGAAGCCUCUCUUGAAUGUAUUAAUUCAGUAAACAGUUAUGGAGUCCUUACAAUGUGCUAGUGGGACUUUGAAGAUGAAUCCAAAUUUGGAUCCUGGCCUGGAAAGGCUCAAAGCCCAAUAUGGGAGCCUGGAUACAAAUGUGAAACUUAUCUUCUUUUAUUAACCAAUCAAUCACCUCCUGCCAAAACAACAUCAGCAAAAACAACAGAAAAAAACAAAAACAAAAACAAAAACAAAUCUGUGUACACAAGACCUUUGUUUCCACAGCAGACUUGGCUAAAGGUUUGGGCAUGCAUAUGCAUACCCCCAAAAUUAAAAAUGGAAAAUU